rnacentral:rRNA from 1 species
AGCGAACGCUGGCGGCAGGCCUAACACAUGCAAGUCGAACGAACCCUUCGGGGUUAGUGGCGGACGGGUGAGUAACACGUGGGAACGUGCCUUUAGGUUCGGAAUAACUCAGGGAAACUUGUGCUAAUACCGAAUGUGCCCUUCGGGGGAAAGAUUUCUCGCCUUUAGAGCGGCCCGCGUCUGAUUAGCUAGUUGGUGAGGUAAUGGCUCACCAAGGCUACGAUCAGUAGCUGGUCUGAGAGGAUGACCAGCCACAUUGGGACUGAGGCACGGCCCAAACUCCUACGGGAGGCAGCAGUGGGGAAUCUUGCGCAAUGGGCGAAAGCCUGACGCAGCCAUGCCGCGUGGAUGAUGAAGGUCUUAGGAUUGUAAAAUCCUUUCACCGGUGAAGAUAAUGACUGUAGCCGGAGAAGAAGCCCCGGCUAACUUCGUGCCAGCCGCCGCGGUAAAAC